rnacentral:rRNA from 1 species
CGCCAGACUCCUACGGGAGGCAGCAGUGGGGAAUAUUGCACAAUGGGGGAAACCCUGAUGCAGCGACGCCGCGUGAGCGAUGAAGUAUUUCGGUAUGUAAAGCUCUAUCAGCAGGGAAGAAAAUGACGGUACCUGACUAAGAAGCCCCGGCUAACUACGUGCCAGCAGCCGCGGUAAUACGUAGGGGGCAAGCGUUAUCCGGAUUUACUGGGUGUAAAGGGAGCGUAGACGGCGGUGCAAGCCAGAUGUGAAAGCCCGGGGCUCAACCCCGGGACUGCAUUUGGAACUGUGUGGCUGGAGUGUCGGAGAGGCAGGCGGAAUUCCUAGUGUAGCGGUGAAAUGCGUAGAUAUUAGGAGGAACACCAGUGGCGAAGGCGGCCUGCUGGACGAUGACUGACGUUGAGGCUCGAAAGCGUGGGGAGCAAACAGGAUUAGAUACCCCCGUA